rnacentral:rRNA from 1 species
CAGCAGCCACGGUAAUACGGAGGGUGCAAGCGUUAAUCGGAAUUACUGGGCGUAAAGCGCACGCAGGCGGUCUGACAAGUCAGAUGUGAAAUCCCCGGGCUUAACCUGGGAACUGCAUUUGAAACUGUCAGGCUGGAGUCUUGUAGAGGGGGGUAGAAUUCCAGGUGUAGCGGUGAAAUGCGUAGAGAUCUGGAGGAAUACCGGUGGCGAAGGCGGCCCCCUGGACAAAGACUGACGCUCAGGUGCGAAAGCGUGGGGAGCAAACAGGAUUAGAUACCCCGGUAGUCCCUGUCUCUUAUAA